CCACCGUGCUGUGCAUUUUCCAAUCAAGUGAACGUCUCUCCCGCCGGAACAUCGCAGCUUCGGUAGCGAAGAGAAUGCCUGUGAUAGUUUUUUAGUUUUUCUAUUUGAGAAAUCAUUUCGGGGACCUUCCACUUGCAGCUCUCCUUCAUGCCAAGGGAGGCCAGUGUCUGUAUAUUUGACUAAGCCUUUUCCUAAGCCCUCCAUCACUGUUCCUCUGCACCACAAUGAAGAGAAGCGCUGUCCAGAGGUCGGUACGAGGUCAGUGUCCCCACAAGCGACUAGAGAGGACGUCCCCAGAGGCUCUUCCACGGUGACUUUUUGGCAAGCAUACUGCCCAGCGCACCCCCGGAGGUCAGAGCUGGGGGACCCCGAAGCCCACCCUUGGCCUGCGGAUGCGCAGGACUCUUGGGAACACUGUUGCAGCUCAGGUCGGGCUCGGGCUGUCUGUGAUUCCCUUCCUUCAUCUCUGAUUCUGCCUGUGGCACUGCAAUGACUGCCUGCCCACCCCUGUGUGCCUGCGGGGGGUGCAGCAAGGACACUCUUGUACACCAGGCAUAAGAGAGGCCUCCACUCACUGCUUCUGGAGCAAUGACCAAACCUGGCCCAAAAUCUUCAUUUACCACCCCAACCCAAGGAGUUUUAGAAUAGAACAAGACAAAAUCA